rnacentral:rRNA from 1 species
GACGAACGCUGGCGGCGUGCCUAAUACAUGCAAGUAGAACGCUGAAGGAGGAGCUUGCUUCUCUGGAUGAGUUGCGAACGGGUGAGUAACGCGUAGGUAACCUGCCUGGUAGCGGGGGAUAACUAUUGGAAACGAUGGCUAAUACCGCAUAAUAGUAGAUGUUGCAUGACAUUUGCUUAAAAGGUGCAAUUGCAUCACUACCAGAUGGACCUGCGUUGUAUUAGCUAGUUGGUGGGGUAACGGCUCACCGAGGCGACGAUACAUAGCCGACCUGAGAGGGUGAUCGGCCACACUGGGACUGAGACACGGCCCAGACUCCUACGGGAGGCAGCAGUAGGGAAUCUUCGGCAAUGGACGGAAGUCUGACCGAGCAACGCCGCGUGAGUGAAGAAGGUUUUCGGAUCGUAAAGCUCUGUUGUAAGAGAAGAACGAGUGUGAGAGUGGAAAGUUCACACUGUGACGGUAUCUUACCAGAAAGGGACGGCUAACUACGUG